rnacentral:snRNA from 1 species
CAACUAAAAAACUACUGAAUUGAAGAUAUAAAAUUGGAAUGAUACAAAGAAGAUUAGCUUGGACCAUGAGCAAAGAUGAAAUGAAAAUUUGUGAAGAACAUGUGUUUUUU